UAGCUAGUUGGUGGGGUAAGGGCCUACCAAGGCGACGAUCGGUAGCUGGUCUGAGAGGAUGACCAGCCACACUGGAACUGAGACACGGUCCAGACUCCUACGGGAGGCAGCAGUGGGGAAUAUUGGACAAUGGGGGCAACCCUGAUCCAGCAAUGCCGCGUGUGUGAAGAAGGCCUGAGGGUUGUAAAGCACUUUCAGUGGGGAGGAGGGUUGAUAGGUUAAGAGCUAAUUAACUGGACGUUACCCACAGAAGAAGCACCGGCUAACUCCGUGCCAGCAGCCGCGGUAAUACGGAGGGUGCGAGCGUUAAUCGGAAUUACUGGGCGUAAAGGGUGCGUAGGUGGUUGAUUAAGUUAUCUGUGAAAUUCCUGGGCUUAACCUGGGACGGUCAGAUAAUACUGGUUGACUCGAGUAUGGGAGAGGGUAGUGGAAUUUCCGGUGUAGCGGUGAAAUGCGUAGAGAUCGGAAGGAACACCAGUGGCGAAGGCGGCUACCUGGCCUAAUACUGACACUGAGGCACGAAAGCGUGGGGAGCAAACAGGAUUAGAUACCCUGGUAGUCCACGCUGUAAACGAUGUCAACUAGCUGUUGGUUAUAUGAAAAUAAUUAGUGGCGC
rnacentral:rRNA from 1 species